UACGUAGGGUGCGAGCGUUGUCCGGAAUUAUUGGGCGUAGAGGGCUCGUAGGCGGUUUGUCACGUCGGGAGUGAAAACUCGGGGCUCAACCCCGAGCCUGCUUCCGAUACGGGCAGACUAGAGGUAUGCAGGGGAGAAUGGAAUUCCUGGUGUAGUGGUGAAAUGCGCAGAUAUCAGGAGGAACACCGGUGGCGAAGGCGGUUCUCUGGGCAUUACCUGACGCUGAGGAGCGAAAGUGUGGGGAGCGAACAGG
rnacentral:rRNA from 1 species